rnacentral:rRNA from 1 species
AUGCUCGCACGAAGCCAUGUCAGUGGUCUUCGGCACCGAUCGGCCCGACAGAGUAGUGGAGACCCGACCACCACCAACGACCACCGCAUCCGCGAGGAAAGGGACCUCAAUGCCUGCAGACACCACCCGGACCAAGCCCACCAUCACCUACACGAAGCGGGAGCUCUGACCCGUGUCGAGCCUCAAGCCAAUCCGGUCGAGCACGAGCCCCAGGUCUCGGCCAUCUCCACCACGCAAGCACCUCGUGCCACCGGUCCAGACCUAGGAGAAGGGAUGAGCUACCAGCACCCACACCAACCGCCGUCGCCAAAGCCGCUGUGGCCACCUCGCCUACCACCGCAAGCACCCAGUGGUCCAACUAGAUCAUGGCAAGGUGCAGGGCCCCCCUGCCUGAACUAG